UCGAGCAUUGGGCCCAAUGAUUUGGAGGAAACGUGAAUAAUGAAGUAAACAACGAGAAAACCAAACUCACAUAUCUAAUCCCUCACUCCACUCCAUUUCUCAACUACCAAAAACACAAACCCCAUUUCUUCACUGUCGGAGCAUCCGAUUUCGGAACACUCGGGUCAAUGGGAACGGCGGCGGCUGAGGUGGAGAUAUCGGAGCCUCUUCUACAGCAGGAUGAGGCGGCGGCGCCCGAUUUGGACGAGCCGAUUCCCGACUGGAAGGAGCAGAUUACGAUCAGAGGGCUGGUGGUCAGCGCCGUGUUGGGCGCUCUCUUCUGCAUAAUCACGCACAAGCUCAAUCUCACGGUCGGGAUCAUCCCGUCGCUCAACGUCGCCGCCGGUUUGCUCGGCUUCUUCUCCGUCAAAUCGUGGACCGGGUUUUUGUCCAAAUUGGGAUUCUCGUCCAAGCCUUUUACCCGCCAAGAGAACACCGUUAUUCAAACUUGCGUUGUGGCUUGUUAUGGACUCGCCUUCAGUGGGGGAUUUGGAUCCUACUUGCUGUCUAUGGAUGAGAAAACAUAUAAAUUGAUCGGUGAAGAUUAUCCCGGGAAUCAUGCGGAGGAUGUGAAGAACCCUGGACUGUUAUGGAUGAUGGCCUUCAUAUUUGUUGUUAGUUUUCUGGGGCUGUUUAGUCUCGUUCCUCUCCGAAAGGUUAUGGUCUUGGAUUAUAAGCUGACCUAUCCCAGCGGAACUGCCACGGCUAUGUUGAUUAAUAGCUUCCAUACACGCACUGGGGCUGAACUUGCCAAAAAGCAGGUAAAUAGUCUCGGGAAAUAUUUAAGUAUAAGUUUCUGUUGGAGCUUCUUUAAAUGGUUCUUUAGUGGCAUUGGGGAUUCAUGUGGAUUUGAUAAUUUCCCCACUUUUGGAUUGGCACUGUUCAACAAUACGUUUUAUUUUGACUUCAGCCCUACUUAUGUUGGAUGUGGGCUAAUUUGCCCUCACAUAGUAAAUUGUUCGGUUCUUCUUGGAGCCAUCAUAUCAUGGGGUUUUCUUUGGCCAUUCGUUUCUACGAAGGCAGGUGAUUGGUAUCCAGCUGGUCUUGGAAGCAAUGAUUUUAAAGGUCUCUAUGGAUACAAGGUCUUUGUAGCCAUUUCCCUUAUUCUUGGAGAUGGGAUCUACAAUUUGAUCAAGAUCAUAUAUGUAACUAUAAAGGAGAUGAGUACCAAACGCCAAAGUCUUCCUACCGUUACAGAAGUUAUAGAGACAGAUAGCAACACUUCCAAGCUGCUAUUGGAAGAAAAGAAACGUGAUGAAAUUUUCCUCAGAGACAGAAUACCAUUUUGGGUUGCUGCUGCUGGAUAUGUAUGCUUGGUGGCAAUAUCUAUGUCUACAAUGCCACUGAUCUUUCCACCUCUGAAGUGGUAUUUAGUCCUUUGUUCAUACAUAAUAGCCCCAGCCCUUGCCUUCUGCAACUCAUAUGGUACUGGACUAACAGACUGGAGCCUGGCUUCCACAUAUGGAAAAAUUGGCCUUUUCAUUAUUGCCUCAAUUGUGGGAAGCAAUGGUGGGGUUUUGGCUGGUUUGGCAGCCUGUGGGGUUAUGAUGUCCAUUGUCUCCACAGCUGCUGAUUUGAUGCAAGAUUUUAAAACUGGUUAUCUUACGAAGUCAUCAGCGAAGUCUAUGUUUGUGAGCCAAAUAGUUGGAACAGCCAUGGGCUGUGUGAUUGCACCCCUCACGUUUUGGAUGUAUUGGACUGCCUUUGACAUUGGAUCACCGGAUAGCCCGUACAAAGCACCAUAUGCUGUUAUUUACAGGGAAAUGGCCAUUUUGGGGGUAGAGGGCUUCUCUGAACUUCCUCAGCAUUGUCUAGCCAUCUGUAUUGGCUUCUUUGUGGCUGCACUGGCUGUAAACCUUUUGAGAGACCUAACCCCGAAAAAUGUUUCCCAGUACAUUCCCAUCCCGAUGGCAGUGGCAGUGCCAUUUUAUAUCGGAGCUUACUUUGCAAUCGACAUGUUUAUUGGUACUGUGAUAUUGUUCAUAUGGGAGCGCAUAAAUAGAAAGGAUGCUGAAGAUUAUGCAGGUGCGGUCGCCUCUGGCUUAAUCUGUGGUGAUGGGAUAUGGACAAUCCCUUCUGCGAUUCUUUCAAUCUUCAAGGUUGAUCCACCCAUCUGCAUGUACUUCAAGCCUUCUGGAAGUAGCUGAUCAAUCACUGUAAGUUCAUAUGCAGAACAGAAGUUAGACAAUCACUUGGGUUAUUUGAAUAGUGAAGAAGGAAUUUUAUUGAAGCUGUGGAUGAAAGGGACAUAAACGUAGCUAAAGUGGUUGAGUGAAAAUCUUUGGAAUUUUCUUUCUCAUUGAUCUGUGAACCCCUUUUUCCCCACCUUUAGCUGCAUUAUCACAAAUCUUGAAAACUCUGCUGUCUUUGUACUUUUGCUAUUUUAUUUCAGGGUAAAAAUGUGAAUAAAGCUAGUGGCAUAUGUUGUACCAAACAAUCAGGGAUGGGAUGUUGCUUGGAAAAAAAUAUGCAUGAUUUGUCAGAGAGAAUCUCUGGUGUGCGACGUGUUUACUGAUGCCACUCGUGAUAAAAAUACAUCGAGUGUAGUAUUCAUGGUUCGUACAUACAUUCCAUGCAUGUAUUUAUGUAAAUGAAGAAGAUGAAUAUUGUAAUUCUACUUUUGUAACGUUCUCAUGAAAAAUGAGGUAAUGGUGAUUUUUUUUGUGGUUCU